CAAGUAGGCGGUUUGUUGUGUGAGGGGUGAAAUCUUCCGACUCAAUCGGAAAAUUGCCUUUCAAACUGAUGAACUUGAGGAAGAAAGAGGGAAAUGGAAUUCUCGGUGUAAGGGUGAAAUCUGUAGAUAUCGAGAAGAACACCAGCGGCGAAGGCGAUUUCCUGGUUCUUACCUGACGCUAAAUUGCGAAAGCUAGGGGAGCAAACAGGAUUAGAUACCCUGGUAGUCC
rnacentral:rRNA from 1 species